AUUAAAUUAAUCUAAGGGCAGAUGGUGGAUGCCUAGACCAGGAGAGGCGAUGAAGGACGUACUAGGCUGCGAUAAGCCAGGGGGAGCUGCCAAGAAGCUUUGAUCCCUGGAUUUCCGAAUGGGGCAACCCGGCAUGUUGCGAAGCAUGUCACUCUUAGGAGAGCGAACGUGGGGAAGUGAAACAUCUCAGUACCCACAGGAAAAGAAAUCAACCGAGAUUCCCUUAGUAGCGGCGAGCGAAAAGGGAGUAGCCCUAAAGAGUUUAAGGUGUUAGUAGAAUAAGCUGGAAUGCUUGACCGUAGAGGGUGAAAGUCCCGUAUACGAAAACUAAUUAGACUUUAUUCGAGUAGGUCGGGACACGUGAAACCCUGACUGAAUAUGGGAGGACCACCUUCCAAGGCUAAAUACUACUCCAGGAUCGAUAGUGAACCAGUACCGUGAGGGAAAGGUGAAAAGAACCGCAGUGAGCGGAGUGAAAUAGAACCUGAAACCAUCUGCCUACAAUCAUUCAGAGCCCUAUGUUUUAUACAGGGUGAUGGACUGCCUUUUGCAUAAUGAGCCUGCGAGUUAUGGUGACUAGCAAGGUUAAACACACGUGAAGCCGUAGCGAAAGCGAGUCUUAAUAGGGCGAUAGUUAGUUGCUGUAGACCCGAAACUAAGUGAUCUAUCCAUGGGCAGGUUGAAGCUGGUGUAAGAGCUAGUGGAGGACCGAACGGGUGGAGGUUUAAAACUCCUCCGAUGACCUGUGGAUAGGGGUGAAAGGCCAAUCAAACUUAGUGAUAGCUGGUUCUCUCCGAAAUAUAUUUAGGUAUAGCGUCAUGUUCGAAGCAUAUGGGGGUAGAGCACUGAUUGGGCUAGGGCCUACACCAAGGUACCAAACCCAGUCAAACUCCGAAUACCAUAUGUGAAUUCAUGGCAGUCAGGUGGUGGGUGAUAAAAUCCAUCAUCGAGAGGGAAACAGCCCAGACUACCAGCUAAGGUCCCAAAGUUCUAUUUAAGUGGAAAAGGAUGUGGAGUUGCUUAGACAACCAGGAGGUUGGCUUAGAAGCAGCCAUCCUUUAAAGAAAGCGUAACAGCUCACUGGUCUAGCGAUUCUGCGCCGAAAAUAUAACGGGGCUAAAAUAGACACCGAAGCUGUAGAUUUAGUAUUUAUACUAAGUGGUAGGAGAGCGUUCUAGUCAGCAUUGAAGCCAUACCGGUAAGGAGUGGUGGAGCGGCUAGAAGUGAGCAUGCAGGCAUGAGUAGCGAGAAAACAGGUGAGAAUCCUGUUCGCCGUAAACCCAAGGGUUCCUACACUAUGCUCGUCAUUGUAGGGUUAGUCGGGUCCUAAGCUGAGUCCGAAAGGGGUAAGCGAUGGCAAAUUGGUUAAUAUUCCAAUACCAACUAAUAGUUUAGUACGAAGGGGGGACGCAUAGGGUUAAACGAGGUCACUGAUGGAAUAGUGGCUCGAAGGGUGUAGAUAAGCUGGAUAGGAAAAUCCGCCGGCUGUUUUCGAGACCUGACAGGCUGAUGACGCUCUUCGGAGCUGAUUCAGAAUCGUUGAUACCGUCGUGCCAAGAAAAGCCUCUAAGUGUAUUAUUAGUUGCCCGUACCGUAAACCGACACAGGUGGGUGAGAUGAGUAUUCUAAGGCGCGUGGAAGAACCCUGGUUAAGGAACUCUGCAAACUAGCACCGUAACUUCGGAAUAAGGUGUGCCUACUCUUGUAUAUGGACUUGCUCCAAAAAGCGAGAGAGGUUGCAACAAAGAGUCCCUCCCGACUGUUUAUCAAAAACACAGCACUUUGCUAACUCGUAAGAGGAUGUAUAAGGUGUGACGCCUGCCCGGUGCUUGAAGGUUAAUUGAUGGGGUUAGUACUUCGGUGCGAAGCUCUUGAUCGAAGCCCAAGUAAACGGCGGCCGUAACUAUAACGGUCCUAAGGUAGCGAAAUUCCUUGUCGGUUAAAUACCGACCUGCAUGAAUGGCGUAACGAGAUGGGAGCUGUCUCAACCAGGGAUCCAGUGAAAUUGUAGUGGAGGUGAAAAUUCCUCCUACCCGCGGCAAGACGGAAAGACCCCGUGCACCUUUACUAUAGCUUGACACUGCAAUUGGGAUAUAUUUGUGCAGGAUAGGUGGGAGGCUUUGAUUCAUCGGCGCCAGCUGAUGAUGAGCUAUCCUUGAGAUACCACCCUUAUAUAUUCUGAUUGCUAACUUGCGCCAGUUAUCCUGGCGGAGGACAAUGUCUGGUGGGUAGUUUGACUGGGGCGGUCGCCUCCUAAAAAGUAACGGAGGCUUACNCCGAGACUCAGUGAAAUUGAAAUCGCUGUGAAGAUGCAGUGUACCCGCGGCUAGACGGAAAGACCCCGUGAACCUUUACUACAGCUUGGCACUGAACAUUGAACCUACAUGUGUAGGAUAGGUGGGAGGCUUUGAAGACGUGACGCUAGUUGCGUUGGAGCCGUCCUUGAAAUACCACCCUUGUAUGUUUGAUGUUCUAACUUAGCCCCGUUAUCCGGGGUGAGGACAGUGUCUGGUGGGUAGUUUGACUGGGGCGGUCGCCUCCUAAAAAGUAACGGAGGCUUACAAAGGUUGGCUCAGAUGGGUUGGAAAUCCAUCGUAGAGUAUAAUGGUACAAGCCAGCUUAACUGCGAGACGUACAUGUCGAGCAGAGACGAAAGUCGGUCAUAGUGAUCCGGUGGUUCUGUGUGGAAGGGCCAUCGCUCAAAGGAUAAAAGGUACGCCGGGGAUAACAGGCUGAUCUCCCCCAAGAGCUCACAUCGACGGGGAGGUUUGGCACCUCGAUGUCGGCUCAUCGCAUCCUGGGGCUGAAGCAGGUCCCAAGGGUAUGGCUGUUCGCCAUUUAAAGCGGUACGCGAGCUGGGUUCAGAACGUCGUGAGACAGUUCGGUCCCUAUCUGCCGUGGGCGUUGGAUGAUUGAGGAGAGUUGCCCCUAGUACGAGAGGACCGGGGUGAACGAACCACUGGUGUACCAGUUGUCCUGCCAAGGGCAUCGCUGGGUAGCUAUGUUCGGAUGUGAUAACCGCUGAAAGCAUCUAAGCGGGAAGCCAACUCCAAGAUGAAUCAUCCCUGAAGAUCCGCAGAAGACUACUGCGUUGAUAGGCUGGGUGUGUAAGUGAUGAAAGUCAUUUAGCUGACCAGUACUAAUAGAUCGUUUGUAUUUACUUU
rnacentral:rRNA from 1 species